UACGGGGGGGGCAAGCGUUGUCCGGAUUUACUGGGCGUAAAGAGCGCGCAGGCGGUCGUUCAAGUCGAGUGUGAAAGCCCCCGGCUCAACUGGGGAGGGUCAUUCGAUACUGAUCGACUCGAAGGCAGGAGAGGGAAGUGGAAUUCCCGGUGUAGUGGUGAAAUGCGUAGAUAUCGGGAGGAACACCAGUGGCGAAGGCGACUUCCUGGCCUGUUCUUGACGCUGAGGCGCGAAAGCUAGGGGAGCAAACGGG
rnacentral:rRNA from 1 species